CCUGUAAACAAAAGAAGGGCUUUUGCCCUGUUGUUCAGGCACCCGUGACUUUUGUGGGUUUAUUCACGAGGUCCUUAAUGCGCCUCCCCUAUUGGGAGUUUUAAAUCGUUUGUGAGAGAAAGUU